rnacentral:rRNA from 1 species
AUUGAACGCUGGCGGCAGGCCUAACACAUGCAAGUCGAGCGAGCGGCGGACGGGUGAGUAAUGUAUGGGGACUGCCCGAUAGAGGGGGAUAACUACUGGAAACGGUGGCUAAUACCCCAUACUGCCGGAGUACCCAUAUGGGAUUAGCUAGUAGGUAAGGUAAUGGCUUACCUAGGCGACGAUCCCUAGCUGGUCUGAGAGUCUGAUCAGCCACACUGGGACUGAGACACGGCCCAGACUCCUACGGAGGCAGCAGUGGGGAAUAUUGCACAAUGGGCGCAAGCCUGAUACAGCCAUGCCGCGUGUAUGAAGAAGGCCCUAGGGUUGUAAAGUACUUUCAGUCGGGAGGCGUUACCGACAGAAGAAGCACCGGCUAACUCCGUGCCAGCCGCCGCGGUAAUAC